rnacentral:misc_RNA from 1 species
UCUCCGUUGGUGAACCAGCGGAGGGAUCAUUACAGGACUCGCAAGACUCCUUCACCCUGUGAACCUCACUACAAGCACGUUGCUUCGGCGGGUGUCCCGGCGGGGGUUUUCCCUCGCCGGGGCGCACAGCCCGCCAGCAGCCUACUAUACUCUGUCUCUUUGCGUUGGCAUCUCGAGAAAAAACAAACAAGUUAAAACUUUCAACAACGGAUCUCUUGGUUCUG